AUUGAACGCUGGCGGCAUGCCUUGCACAUGCAAGUCGAACGGCAGCAUGAUCUAGCUUGCUAGAUUGAUGGCGAGUGGCGAACGGGUGAGUAAUACAUCGGAACGUGCCCUGUAGUGGGGGAUAACUAGUCGAAAGAUUAGCUAAUACCGCAUACGACCUGAGGGUGAAAGUGGGGGACCGCAAGGCCUCAUGCUAUAGGAGCGGCCGAUGUCUGAUUAGCUAGUUGGUGAGGUAAAGGCUCACCAAGGCGACGAUCAGUAGCUGGUCUGAGAGGACGAUCAGCCACACUGGGACUGAGACACGGCCCAGACUCCUACGGGAGGCAGCAGUGGGGAAUUUUGGACAAUGGGCGAAAGCCUGAUCCAGCAAUGCCGCGUGUGUGAAGAAGGCCUUCGGGUUGUAAAGCACUUUUGUCCGGAAAGAAAUGGCUCUGGUUAAUACCUGGGGUCGAUGACGGUACCGGAAGAAUAAGGACCGGCUAACUACGUG
rnacentral:rRNA from 1 species